AUUGAACGCUGGCGGCAGGCCUAACACAUGCAAGUCGAGCGGCAGCGGGAAAGUAGCUUGCUACUUUUGCCGGCGAGCGGCGGACGGGUGAGUAAUGCCUGGGGAUCUGCCCAGUCGAGGGGGAUAACUACUGGAAACGGUAGCUAAUACCGCAUACGCCCUACGGGGGAAAGCAGGGGACCUUCGGGCCUUGCGCGAUUGGAUGAACCCAGGUGGGAUUAGCUAGUUGGUGAGGUAAUGGCUCACCAAGGCGACGAUCCCUAGCUGGUCUGAGAGGAUGAUCAGCCACACUGGAACUGAGACACGGUCCAGACUCCUACGGGAGGCAGCAGUGGGGAAUAUUGCACAAUGGGGGAAACCCUGAUGCAGCCCAUGCCGCGUGUGUGAAGAAGGCCUUCGGGUUGUAAAGGCACUUUCAAGCGAGGAGGAAAGGGUUGGUAGCGUAAGUAACUGCCAGCUGUGACGUUACUCGCAGAAGAAGCACC
rnacentral:rRNA from 1 species